AUGCUGCGUUGGGUUUGGCGGAUCUUGCGGGGAGAUGGGGGGCUGUGGUUGCAGCUGGUUGAGUCCAAGUACUUGCAGGGCCAACCCCUCUUGUCUUGCUCACAGUCGGCUGGGUCCCAGUUCUGGAAAUCUAUUCAGACCAUCAAGGAAGAUAUUAGGCUGGGUUUGCGUUUCUUGGUUGGUAAUGGGUCUGGAACCCAAUUUUGGUUGGACCCAUGGCUUGAGGGCAAGCCUCUCCGCUUGUGGUUCUCGCGGCUCUUUGCGAUUUGUGAGGACCCGACCAUUCUUGUAUUUGCAGCUGCUUUGGAGGAAGGAUGGAACAUUGCGUUCCGCCGCUCCUUCGGACCUGAUGAGGUACAGGAAUGUGACGACCUGAGGGAAGUAGUCCCUCUGCUUCUGUCCUUGGAUCCUGACACUGUUUCUUGGAGCCUUUCCCCUUCGGGAGAAUUCUCCGUUAGUUCAGCCUAUCAGGCGUUAUGUCGGAUGCCAGUUCUACAGUAGUUAGCCCCACUGUGGAAGGCACCGUUACCCUUAAAGAUUAAGAUUUUUGUUUGGCAGCUUCUCCGAGACCGUCUACCUUCGGGGACCGAGGUCCUGAAACGCCAUGGUCCGGGCAAUGGACUUUGCCAUUUGUGCCAUGUCCCAGAAACGGGAAUGCACAUUUUGUUUUCUUGCGUAGCAGCGCUGGCACUUUGGUGCUUCGUACAUGAGGCUUUAGGGCCAGAGUGGGAGGCCCAUGACCUUGCAGGGUUUUUGCGGGUUAGGGCUACUCAGGUUGGCCGUAAGCGCCGACUAUUCUGGCUCAUCUUCGCAGCUAUGAUGUGGACUCUCUAGACUACUCGCAACAAGAUGGUGAUUGAGCGGGUGUUCCCGCGAUGUGCUUCUGACUCGUUCUUCAAAUUUCUUGCCUUCCUGCAGCACUGGCAUCUGCUCGCUAGGCCGAGGGAUUGUGAUCGUCUUCAGCUUUUCCUGGACGCCCUGGUGUCUAUCGCGCGUCGGCUCUCCGGCUUCGUAGCUUGCCCCUAG
rnacentral:rRNA from 1 species